GUUUUUCUCACUCUGUGCUCAUUAUUGGUGCAGGGUGUGUUGAAUAUAUUGCUUGUCUGUGCCUCUUCCUCUCCCCCUUUUUCCUGUCCUAUUGUUUCCCCAGCGUUGGGCGUUGUUGCAGGGAUACUGCCAGACCAGUUUAAACUAGCUGCUCUGUCCCUCCUCAAUCCCCCACCUGACCCCACCCUUCCUUGUACUAUAGUGCUUUAUGUACCCUAUUGUAUUUACAUGAGGCUGUUG